ACUCCUACGGGAGGCAGCAGGCGCGAAACCUCCGCAAUGUGAGAAAUCGCGACGGGGGGACCCCAAGUGCCAUUCUUAACGGGAUGGCUUUUCUUAAGUGUAAAAAGCUUUUGGAAUAAGAGCUGGGCAAGACCGGUGCCGCAGCCGCGGUAAU
rnacentral:rRNA from 1 species